GAAUAUCUAUAUUUCAAGCUAGUACUCAAUGAGAUUUUUUUAUGUCUUUGUAUUUUAUUUAUGAGUAGGAUGACAGAAGUAAUAUUAUUUAUACUGUUGUAGGUUAAUGAGAAAAGAGCAGAUGGAUUUAAUAUGUAAUAGAUUUUCUUUUUCCUGCAAGAAAAGCUAUGUGAUAUUGCAAAGCAGGAAAUAAUCAUGUUAUUUAAUCGUGUGUAACAGUAUUAAAUAGAAUCAAAUAUGAAUGAAGAAAAUAAUUUUAAGAAGCUGGAUUGUAACAGAACCCAAUCCAACUAGAUUUUAAAACAUCAGCUAUAAUUGGAAAGGGGCACAGAUUAGCAAAUCAAUGGGAUCCAUUAGCAACUCCAAAAUGCAGUGACCUGUUAGAGUCACCCACUUGAGAACUGGAGCUUCCAAAUGCAUGAGGCAAAAACUGAUGAAACCGAAAGGUGUGGACAAAGCCACAGUAUAGUUGGAGACUUCUGUGCUCUUCUCUCAGGAAUAGAUGAAAAAUGAACACAGAAAGCCAGCAGAGACAUGGAUGUGGACACAAGUAACCAACCAGACCUAAUCCACACUUCCAGAAGACUCCACCCAAUGGAAGCAGAAUACAUAUUUUUGUUGAAGUGCCCAAGGAAAUUUCAGCCAGACAGGUCAUAUCCUGGGCCAUAAAAACAUUUUAGUACAUUUAAGAGAACUGAAAUCAUACAAGGCAUACCCUCAGAUCAUAGGGGAAUUAAACUAGAAUUCAGCAGCAGAAAGGUACCUGGAAAACCCCAAAUACUUGGAAAGCAUCAGUAUUAGCCAAAGAGAAAGUCCCAUGGGAAAUUAGAAAAUAUUUUGAACUGAAUGAAAAUGGAAACAAAACAAAUUAAGAUUUGUGGGAUGCAGCUAUUACAGUGUUGAGAUGGAAAUUUACAACUCUAUUAAAUGCUUUUAUUAGGAAGAAAAGAAACACUUCAAGUCAGUGAUCUAUGCUACCUAUUUAAGAAAGCAGAAAUAGAGAAAAUUAAGCCCAAAGCAAGCAAAAGAAAAGAAAAUAAAAAACAACAGGAAUCAAUAAAACAGUAAAACAAUAGAGAAAAUCAAUGAAAUCAAAAGCUACUUUAAAAAAAUCAAUAGAAUUGAUAGACUUCUAGCUAAACCGACCAAGAAAACACAAUAAGCAAAAUGUUUGCCAUGCAUGAAACUGGCAAGGAAUAUUAUCCAGAAUAUGUGGAAAAUUCCUAACAUCAUCAAGAAAAUCAUGCAAACAAGUUGGGAAAUAAGAAAAGGAUGUAUUUGGAUUAACAAGUCUGAGAAUAUGUGAAAAUACUGCUUGGCAACCAGGAAAUAAAAUAAAACCACAAUAAGAUCCAUUUUACAUUUAUCAUAUUGGCAAAAAUUAAAUGAAUAAUUAAACCAAGUGUUUACCAGGAGAGAUGGAAAACUUUACUCCCUUUUAGAAGUACAUACAUUGGUUUAACCUUUUAGGGGAGUAAUUUGGUAAUAACCACUACAGUUGAAAAUGUCCAUGAGCAGAAACUUAGCACUUCCAUUUCUAGGGGAAUCUUGGGCAAUUUUUUUGUUUCCCCCAGUUGUAAGUUAGAGGCAUUUUCAGUGAUGUUAAUUGUAGCAUGGCUUGUAACAUUGAUAACUUGGAAAUGAUUUUGAUGUAAGUUUUCCACUCACUUUGGUCAAACUGUAAACAUGUUCUUAAGAAAUGCCAUGACCACAUUUAUAUGGAACUUGUUUCUCAGAAAAGUUUCCAAUGAAGGAGGCAUGUUUGCACCUAAAAAGCAAUAUGAUUGUGUGUGUUUGUGUGUGUGUGUGUGUGUGUGUUGAAAAGCUUAUAGAGGCACUGGCCAGAAUGUAUGCUCACUUCCUUGGGUGCUGUAACUUCUAGCCCUCUAGUGAAGUUGUAAACUACAAUAUGACCUGCAUAUUGGCACUGAGCACAGAGCAUCAUCGAUCUCCCUGCACCUUUCAUGGAGAUCACUGAAUUAGGUUUUCUGUGGACCACAACACAACAGACCAGAGGAAAACACCAUCUGCCUUGUGCUCAUCUGUCCCCCUGAGGCACCACAGCACCCUAGGGCCAGCAGCAGCAGGUCGUGUGACACCUGCCCUUCAGUCCCUAAUGCUUUCCUCUCCUCCUGAGCUUGCUCCCUGCCAUGCUUGUUGAAGGAAUAUGAGUAUAAUUUUGCACUAAGUAUGUGUCGGUCAUCAAUAGUUUCUUAUUGUAUCGAUACCUCAGCCCUAAAGUUGUUUUUUAAUUUAAUUUUUUUUUGAGACACGGUCUCUGUUGCUUAGGCUGGAAUGCAAUGGUGUGAAGACAGCUCACUGCAGCCUCAGUCUCCUGAGCUCAAGUGAUCCUCUUGCCUCAGCCUCCCAAGUAGCGGGGACUACAGUUGUUAACCCUAAAGUCUGUACAUUUCACCUGGAGCUAAUUCUUAGAAUAAAAUAACAAGUGGGAGAUGCAUGUAUCAAAAUGGAAAAAAAAGUCCCACCACAGCAAAAACAAGAAGCUGUUUGCAGAAUAAUCUGUAGAAAGUGAGAUUUUUUUUUACACUUUGAAAGCAUGAAUAGCAUUGGUUAUUACUUGUGAAUAUUAUAUGAUUUAUGAGUACACCUAUGCUCAGUAAAGGUGCAAACAUGGAUGAAGGGCUACGUGCAAACUUCAUUGUGAUGAUUCACUUCUGGUGUGGUAGGCAGGGAUGAGAUUGAGAGCUAGGAUACAUGUUUUUCCAAAAAUGUAGCUCUAAAGUAAAUAAUGCAAAAUGUUAAGACUUAUUAAAGGUGAUGUUUCAUUAAUCACUGUUUUUUAAGUUUAUACUAUUCCAUAAUAAAUCAUAUUUUAAAAAUCACACAUAUAAUAGAUUUGACCAAAAUCCCAGAAAAAUAUUGGGUUCUCUUGAUCCAAUCUAAUCUCCUCCAUAUUUUGGAUAGCAUCUACAAUGUUAAAAUCAGAACUGGUUUUCAGAAUAUUGACCCUGCAAAGAAAGGAAUACCAUAAUAACAAGAGCAAGUAAGCUUUUAGCUUUUUUUUUUUUAAGCACCUACAGUAUUCCAGGCAGCAUCAUGCUAGGCAUGUUACAUAUAUUUUCUCUAAUUGACCCCCAAAAUUACUUUUUUGUGCACUUACAUGAUGAAUGAUGAAUCUGGGAUUCUUAUCUAGUUCUUUUCUUAUUUUCUUCACUUUAAAAACCAAUUAAAUUAAUAUUGAAAUUGUUGUUACCUAGAAUUUAUAGUUAGCCAAAUGUUUCUAAUUACUUUGUUACUCCUCCACUAUACAAUAAUAUUGCUAACUGCAGGUUUCCCAUCUAGAAGGUGAGCUUGCAGAAAUAUCACAAGACUUUUUCCUCUUUAAAAAUGUAGUCACAGCCAGGUGCGGUGGCUCACUCCUGUAAUAACACUUUGGGAGGGAGGGGGGCAAAUCAUUUGAGGUCAGGAGUUUGAGACCAGCCUGACCAACAUGGUGAAACCCCGUCUCUACUGAAAAAAGUAUAUAAAAAAUUAGCCGAGCAUGAUGGCAUGUGCCUGUAGCCCCAGCUACUCAGGAGGCUGAGGCAGGAGAAUCGCUUGAACCUGGGAGGUGCAGGUUGCAGUGAGCUGAGAUUGUGCCACUGCACUCCAGCCCGGGCAACAGAGUGAGGCUCCAUCCAUUUCAAAAAAAAAAAGAAAAAAAUUAGCCAAGUGUGGUGGCACGCGCCUGUAAUCCCAACUACUUGGGAGGCUGAGGCAGAAGAAUCACUUGAACCUGGGAGGUGGAGGUUGCAGUGAGCCGAGAUUGCGCCACUGAACUCCAGCCUGGGACAGAGGGAGACUAUCUCAAACACACACACAAACAAAAAAAAACAUAGUCACUACUCUGACUUCUUAUUUUCUCAAAAUUUAUGGCAAUUAAAUCCUCCUCACUGAUAAUAAAUAGUGUCUUAAUCAGAAAAAACUGUGCAUUUAUAUACACUUAUGUUGCAUUAAUAAAUACAGUGCAAUUUUAUGAUGGAAAAAUACAAAAUAUAGGAUAUGUUUUUGUUUUUUAUUUUCUAAAUUUCUAUUUAUCUCUACUGGACAUGACCUUUCCCUGUUGAAAAUGCUGCCAUUUCACACAUCAACUUAAUUUACUACCUUCAUUUUUUGCACAUAAUCUGUAAGUCACGAGUGGUGAGUACGGAUUCCCUGAACCUUGGCUGUGUGAAAGAGCUUUGUGUGCUAGAUCUCCUUCUCUUUGUAGCUCAUAUAUGGUUAUAUAAAAUAUAUAUUUAUAUAUGUUUCCUUUUGAAAGGGUUAUCUUACUUACGUUCCCUGACAUAUCUUUAGAAUUAUCGUUUAAUGAUUAAACUAAAUAUUUCCACAUUUCAUUAUUUUAUCUAACACACAAUUUGUUUUAAUUCCAUGCUAUAAUAUAUUUCAGUCUAUAUAACAAAUACAAUGAAUAUAGAAAGAAGGCAUUGGAUUUAUUUAGUGCUCUGCAACUCUUAACUUUGUUUUUAUAUGACAUUACAAAAAGGUUUAUUUGAUCAUUCAGUAAAGCAAACCACAUAACAAUUUGCUUUUUGAUGUGAAUCAAUUGCAUAUUGAUCUUAUUAUGGCUUUCAUCGGCAGCUAUGGCAGGAGUGAGCUGGAUAUUUAUUAAGAUCUUGGGUCCCAGAUUGCCAUUAGUUUAUCAAAGACCAUGAAUGGUUUCUUACGAUGAAUACCUGAAUAUGAUCAAUAUGCAUAAUAACUUUUUAUGUUCUUUACAAAAACAAAAGAAUAUUUUUAAAAACUUGGCAAGAAAUAUGAUAAAUGCCCAUAAUGAAAAUAAAAGAACAUAAAGCACAUGAUAUUACUGUGGAGAGCAGACUGCUGAGAAGAAGAAUAAGGCAUGAAGAAAAGGUGGUAGAGUUAAAAUAGUAACAUAAAUAGAGAUAGCCUAUGCUUAAUGAAACAAUUAAACAGCUCAUUUCUCAAUGUCAAGUGUGGACCCCUAAACAGAUGUGUAACUAGAAAUUUUUAUGCCAAGGGCAAGUACCAAGCAUUUUUGUUUCUGCGUCCCCUUCUGCCAUCAUUCUGCCUUCAGGCCAUCCUCCCACCUCCCUGUGACUUUCAUGCUUUUGCUCUAUUUAUAAAUCGUGGGCUUCCUGUGUCAGGUUACCUGGCCCUCUGAGUCGGCAGAGGAUUGCCAUCAUGGCAAAAAAUGCGAAGAAGUCAUUCUUGGCUGGCUGAUGCUGUCAGCAUUCCCCCCCACCGCCGCUUAGCUUCUCACCACCGAGUUACUUCUAAAGGAUUGCAUCACGCCAAAUAGCAUAAACUUUUAAAAAAAGUAAAAUCUCAUAAAAUGGUAAGUAGAUAAAUGUCAUAUUCUUUUCAUAAAUGCUGUUUAAUUCCAAAGCUACUAUAAAAUACUAUAACCUACGAAAUUCUAGAUUUGAGUCCUGGGAACUGCCACAAAGCUCCCUCAAGGGCCAGUGUGUGGAAUUCCAUGAUGUCGUAUCUCACAGCCAGUUUUAUUCAUGCCCAGUGCUUGGGAAGUGCAAAGGAACACAGCCCCAUGCACAGCGCAGCAAAUGUCCCAGCUUUUGCUAGUUUCAAACAUUUUAUGUAAAAUUAAUUUUCACUACUUUUAUAUAAAGCCAUUAUAGUUUUCAAAUUAAUAAAGUUAUAAUGCAGUACAACAUCAACUAUAUUUUCUAUAUUUUUUUUACAUAAACAACCACCGUAUAUUAAGGCUCCAGCCCUAUCAGAAAAUGUUUUGCAUCUAUUUUGAGAACAAAUGAAGAGUUUGUACACUUAGUGAAAAAAAUACUUGUUUGGAUGUAAAACUUUAUAGAUAGUAACAAUAAAAUUAAAUGUGUAUAUUAGUCAAAAUUCUGAUUUCUAAGCAAAGAAAACUAACCUUGGACAUCUCAGGCAGGUAGAGGCUUCAUUGGAAGGCUAAGGAAGGACAUGAACUUCGACAAAAAGGUCUGGCGAGUGGGUGAGGUGGAUUCAGGGGCUGAUGGCUGGCGUGCUCUGAGCAAAGUUCUUCUCCGACUAAUAUUCUUCUGCUGGUGCUGCAUGGAGCCACUACUGCCCAAUGUCACCCCAUGGAGCCAGGUCAAUUGUUGUCCCUUCCAUUAUAUGUCCCUCACUCUGCAUCCAUCGUAGGUAGGUUAACUGAGCCCAUCUUACAUGUGUUUGUCCAGCUGUCAAAGCAGGGGAGGAAGAGGGAGUCCCUUCCCUUGUAUUUUCAUCGUGGUAGGUGCGAAACUGAAAUGUGAGACUGGCAGGAAAAAGCCAAAUCACAAAUGUCCAUUAUGGCUACUGAAGACUUUUAUUUUUGAACCAAAAAUUCUUUAUGUUUUAUGAAACAGGCCAGGUGCAGUGGCUCCCGCCUGUAAUCCCAGCACUUUGGGAGGCCGAGGCGGACGGAUCACUGAGGUCAGGAGUUUGAGACCAGCCUGACCAACAUGAUGAAACUCCAUCUCUACUAAAAAUACAAAAUUAGCUGGGUGUGGUGGUGCACACCUGUAAUCCCAGCUACUUGGGAGGCUGAGAUAGGAGAAUCACUUGAACCGGGAGGUGGAGGUUGCAGUGAGCUGAGAUCAUCCCAUUGCACUCCAGCCUGGGCAACAAGAGUUAAACUCUGUCUCAAAAAAAAAAAUAAAAUAAAAUAAAUAAAUAAAUAAAUUUUAUGAAACAGUUGAAUGACUCCUGCAUUUCUUUUAAUGGGUUAUGAUAAGUUCAUUCUCAGAAACGGAACAUAUGAUCUUGAUUUCCAUUCAAACUGUGGACUCAGUGAAUUUUCCAUAUGAUCUUUGGCAAAUCACUGACUCUAUUUUCUCUUUUCUUUAUCUACCAUAACGCCCAGACAUUUUAUCUUCCUUGAAGGGAGUUUAUUAAAACUGCUGAUGAGGCUAAUGAAAAUAUAGACAUCCUUAAAGAGAAAUUUCAUUUUUGGUCACCAUUUAAUUUUACUGCUACGUGCCCAAUCUGUCCAGGACUGGAUUUUAUAGAAUUUCUAUUUAAUUGCAUUAGUAGAAAAGCUAAAAAGCUGGUUCCCUGCAUGUGUCCAUACUUCUUGUAUAAAUGUCACAUGAGCAAUAAAUUCUGAAAGCCAUUCAACACAUAGUUUCACAUAACUCUUACAGCUUCUCACCAGUAAGGAAUCUGUCUCAUCACGUGAGUGCCCACAAUUUGCAUGGAAGAAAAUAAGCAUGGUUUUCAGUUUCCUUGAGAAAAAGAAUGUGCCCCAAGAUGACUGGCAGUUCCUGCCUCAUCAGGGAUGUCUGCAUUUGAAAACAAGGCCUCUUUGAAAUCUGAGAAUGGAAAAUGAUUCCCGAUGACCUUUCUCAUCUCUCUUUGAUUCUUAGCCAAACACAGAGGAAAAGUCACAAAGCACCCUACUAUAUACACCGUCUUUCAAAUGACUCCCUUUGUCUAAGAACCACAUUGCAGGGGCAGGCCUGGAAAGGAUGUCAGAUGGCCUAGCAUUGUGUUGUAAUGUACAGGGGGCAGGCCUGGAAAGGAUGUCAGAUGGCCCAGCGUUGUGUUGUAAUGUACAGGAGUCAGGCCUCCAAUACAAAAAUCAAACCAGUGUUCAUGACCAGGAGGUUCCCCUGUGCAUGAUCUCAGAGGAAGCAUCUGUGAUGCUUACAAGGUAAAGUAGAUGCAUCUCUAAGGAAUAGAGGGAAGAUUAGGACAAUCUAUUAUUGCAACCAAUCAGCAUUUUCUUUCUAUUUCAGUGCCUGGAUAUCAGUGCAAGUGAUUUCAGAAGAUUGCCUACU
rnacentral:lncRNA from 10 species